AGGCAAAGAAAAGCGGAUGUUGACGCAUUAUUUCAAAGCGUCGGCGCUAACGUUACUUUAAUUUCAGUGUCAGCUUUACUUUCACCAAAUACAAGACUUACCCUAACCAGUCUGACAGCGUUAACCGAGUUAACUAACUAGCAGCGCCAAGAUGCGGCAAGUGAUUUGAUAGCAUAGCGCUAGCUAGGCGUUAGCCGCGGAUGCUGUUUCCAUGGUGAUGAAACUUUUAACGUUUAACGACGACAUGCUAGCUAGCAGCUGGUGUUAGAUAUAUAUAAACAUAUAUCCUAUUUAUUAGUUAGAGACUCCAACAGCUCGAUUACUCAUGUGAACAGAGAUGUCAUCGAGCUAUCGGGACUAUACAAAACCAACACACGCAGCAGCUGCUACAACUGAGACCCACAGCGCCUCUUCACGGCUGAGAUUCAACAGCCUGACACUGGAUGAAUUGAGUGAGGAGCUUGACAGACGCACCAAGGAAACCCAGAGGCUUCAGGAUGAGGUGGAAAAUGCAACCAAACUAACCUUGGAGAGGUUUGGUUGUGCAUAUGGUAUCCACGUCUCACCUGGGCAAGGCUUCCACAACCAGAAGCUUAAUGUCUAUGACUCUACUGUUCUUUCAACAAACCAGCAGGCUGUGGCUCAGCCUCUGAUCUCUGAUCUUGAUAGUUUAAACCAAGCAGAAGCCCGAAUGGAUGUCAGCUCUCCUGGAGAGGACAUGUUGGAGAAUGUAAUAGACGACUUGCAGCUUAACAAGACACAUGAUCAGCCGGAACACGAGACAUUCAGUUAUGAUAAGGCCAUUGUGAACCUGCAGACAGAGUUACAUAAAGCCCAGACGGAGAAGGACGUCUUGUCUGACCUCAGAUUGAAGGAUUCAACGAAACAUGUUGGUCAGAUGGAAACGAUGCUGUGCAUGCUGGAGGAGGUCCAAAAUAUCAAAAGGGCUGGGGACCAAAAGCUGCAAGAGACAGAGGACGAGAUGCUGGCACUUAACAGGAGAGUAGAAACACUGGAACGAAACAUUAAGGACAUGUACUCUUCAAUGUGUCUACAAUGUGAAGACGCCAUUACAAGGCCUAACAUGGCCUCUAGUUUAAGACCACUAUCUUCAGCUGCUAAAUUAACUGAGGAAUUAAACAAUGAGACUGACAAGCUACAGGAGAGACUUUUUAUGUCAGUAGGACACCUGGGGAGUGAAGAAUGCAGUGGCGUAAAUAAACAAAGAGAAAGAAUGGAAAACCUGAUUGCAAGUCUUGGCCAGGAGAUGGCACUGUUGACUGACAAACUAAACUCAUCAAAAAGUGACAGCCACACCUUAAGUGUCAAGUUGGAGCUGCUAAAGCAACUUGCAGAGAGGCAAACGUCACUGCACCAGUGUAACGUCAGUGAACUUAUGUCAACCCUCUCCAGCCAUAAAGAUAAGAUUUGUUGUCUGGAGCAGCAGCUCAUUCAGGCUCAAGACCAGCUAGCGAACGGCCAAAGGGAAAAAGAAGGAUCUUUACAACAGGCAGAGGCGCUUCAGUCCCAGCUUGGUCAACUUGAGAGGUGCAGUAAGCAGAUGCAGUGUAAGCUCCAAGAGGAGGUAAAGGCCCUGAGAAGACAGCUGGAGGCGGCCAGGGAGCAGCUUCGCAGAGGUGGGGAGGAGAAAACCUGCCUAGAGGCCCUGCUGGAGCAGAGGACCCAGGAGGGUAGAAUAUCUCUGGAACUCCUAGAGGAGAAAAAUAAGGAACUCCUGCUCAGACAGCAAGACGCCCAGCAGCAUCUUGCCAAGUUGAAAGAGGCUCAGAGCCAGUGCCAGACCCUGCACGUAGACAGAGAGACACUGAAGCUGAAGCUGGAUGACCAAGAGAAGACGAUAGAUAUUUUGAGGUUGCAGAUGGAGAGUAGCAUCCAGAUGACGGUGCAACACAGCCACACCAUUGACAGCCUUCAUCAAGAGAACAGUCUCCUCAGCAACCAGCUAAACCAGCACAAGUUGGAGAUUCAGCAGCUCAGGACUGAGUUAGACCAGCACAAGUCGGACCUGGCUGCUGCGGAUCACGAGAGGCGACGGCUACAGGCCUCUGUGGUCGAACAAAGUCACCGUGUCCAAGAGGAAACUGUGGAGAAACAGCAGCUCCACACCCAGCUGGAAGUCCAGCGCAUACAGUUACUCACCCUCACUAAGGAGCACAAGCAGCUGCAACAGCUCCACAGCUGUAAGAGCGAGGAGCACAAGGGUGUGGUGCUGAAGCUUCAGAGUCAGCUCAGGAAUUCCCAUGAUGAGCUGGACCAGGUCAAGAGCACCCUGAGGACCCUGGAAGGAGCUGAUGGACACGGCCUCCAAGCAGCCAUGGACAUGCAGGAGAAGAUCACCGCCAAGAGAGAGCAGAUCGACUCCCUGCAGAGCAAAGUCCAACAUUUAGAAGAGACUAUGGAGAAGCUGUACCAGGAGAAGCUCUACCAGGGUCUGGAGCAGCAGCGUCAGCUCCAGGAACUCACUUUUGUCAGGGAGGAGAAAAGACAACUCGGCAAUGAGCUGGAGGCCCUUCGCUCCAAAGAUAAACAGUUAAGGGAGCGGAUCAGCCAACUGGAGGCAAUCCUUCAUAAGAUGUCAGAAAGCUUUGCAGACUGUCAAGAUUUCAUCCAGCUGCAGGAGCAGGAGUUUUUCCGUCUGAAACUCCAGCAUGCCCUGGACUUGAAGGAGUUUCAAGGUCAAAAUUUGCACACAGCUCUGAAUGUACCUUCACCUGACCUGGUGUCCACGUCCCCAUCUGCACUCACUGCACCACCCGCCUCCCAGUACGCCGCCAACACCCAGACCACGCCAAAGAGGCAGCAGGAGAGCCCCGCCCGAGAGCUCUGGUCUCUCGUCAAAGAGCUGCGAGGGGUGAUUUCGGAGAACCAUAGACCACACACCGAUAACAGCGCUGCUGACAGCAGCUUUCACAGGAGGAGGUCUGAACCGGAGAGAGUGCACAGAACCACAUUUACACCAGCAGAAGUAAAAGCAGGCUCCAGGCCGAGAAGAAAAACCUGUGGCAGUGAGCCACAUUUCCUGAGGACAGCUGAGCUGAACGGGGAAAUAAUCGAGAACAAAUCCUUCAGUGAGAGUUGCAUUAUAUCAAGUCCAGCGACUGCAGCGAGGUACAUGUCCUCCCCACAGCUAUUGUCAUUGGGCCGCAAGUCACCCGUCCACUAUCUUCUGACCUCUGACCCAAGGGUGACCGACACGAUACAACAGACCUGAGGCUGGCUCCUCUUAUCAAUACUGAAUCAUGCUGUGUAUUAACUGAGAGGAAAAGCUGAAUAACAUCCACACAAAUGGCAAAUACCUCCAGUUGAUUAAUGACAGAUGAUAAGACAGACAGAUGUUUACUCACAUUGAUUAUUUCAUCAACUAUCGCUCUUUUUUUUUUAUUUGGAAAGACUCCCCAGAUGAAGUUGUCAAAUCAUGGUUUUAUAAAAUCACCAAUCAGGUGUGUUUUUGUAAUUUAUUGGUUACAUCAU